rfam:Apaloderma vittatum contig9067, whole genome shotgun sequence.
GGCCGGUUAGCUCAGUCAACUGAGUGUGGCACUAACAACGCUAAGGUCGUGGGUUCGAUUCCCAUUCAGUCCC